GUGAGGCGGGGCCGUUGCGUCCUGACCGGGGCGUGGCCUUAUGGAAAUGAGGCCGCGGUGGGCGCGCUAGAAUUCUACCGGGCGGUAGAAUUCCCCGGGCUGUGGAAGUGCCCGAGCUGUGGCUCGGCUUGUCUGAGGACGACGUGUGUGGGUGCACCUGUCAGGAGGCUGGGAAACGCAUUUAGUGAGGAGUCAACUGUGAUUUUCAUUGCACGAGGAGGAAAAAGAGCCCUGAAUUCCGUUACUGGUAAUCAGAGAAGGGAUUGUUGUUCUUACACUGGGUUUCUAGGCAACAUUUCUUUCUUACUGCAUCCUAUAGUAUAAGAAUUGUGAGACACUUGGAUCCAGAAGAGGGAGUAUUCAUC